GAUGAACGCUGGCGGCGUGCCUAAUACAUGCAAGUCGAGCGAACGGACGAGAAGCUUGCUUUUCUGAUGUUAGCGGCGGACGGGUGAGUAACACGUGGAUAACCUACCUAUAAGACUGGGAUAACUUCGGGAAACCGGAGCUAAUACCGGAUAAUAUUUUGAACCGCAUGGUUCAAAAGUGAAAGACGGUCUUGCUGUCACUUAUAGAUGGAUCCGCGCUGCAUUAGCUAGUUGGUAAGGUAACGGCUUACCAAGGCAACGAUGCAUAGCCGACCUGAGAGGGUGAUCGGCCACACUGGAACUGGGACACGGUCCAGACUCCUACGGGAGGCAGCAGUAGGGAAUCUUCCGCAAUGGGCGAAAGCCUGACGGAGCAACGCCGCGUGAGUGAUGAAGGUCUUCGGAUCGUAAAACUCUGUUAUUAGGGAAGAACAUAUGUGUAAGUAACUGUGCACAUCUCGACGGUACCUAAUCAGAAAGCCACGGCUAACUACGUG
rnacentral:rRNA from 1 species